CUUGAACCAAUAUUGUCUGAACUAGUCAUCAAGGUCGUCGUCGUCUUCGGACGUGGAUACUCUCAUUUUUUACAGAGAGUCAUCCGUUCCGAAUUGCGCAUCAGACGCAUAGCGUAUUAUUUGUGUUUCGUCCGGUAUAGAAUUUUGUAAAAAUUGACGACCUAAUUAUAUCAUCCGUGUGGUAGUGGGUUAAUAUAUACGAGUAAAAAGAAGAGGAAUAAACGCAUAUAUUUUGAGUAAUGGUCGUACUGCCCCUGAUCAAGGGAGUUUGAACCAAAUAUUGUCUGGACUAGUCAUCAAAGCCGUCGUCGUCUUCGGACGUGGAUACUCCUAUUUAAUUUUGCUGCCUAGUUGUGUCGUCCCUGACAACAUAAGUGGGAACAGGAACCUGCAUGGUGCUACGUUAUAGAUUAGCUAAUAUACUAACUAGCUAAUAAUAACAAUCAAAACAGCGAAAUUGUUGACGUGUUCGGACGUGGUUACUCAUGAAUUCUUCCGUAUCCCAUUUUAGUGUUGUAGCUGGGAGAGGGAUACACGAAGGAGAAAUGGCUACUAGUAUAUGUAAGAAGAUUUUCUCUCCUGAGGUUGCAUUACAACUGAAUUGAACAGGGACAGAAAUAAAAAAAGGAAUCAAGUCACUAA